CCGAGCCGCCCGCCCCGCCGGCCCACGCCGGCCUCGUGGGGAAGGGACCUCGGGGCCCCGCCCGCAGGUCCCUCCUGACCCGGGAUGACCGCGCCCCAGGGCGGGAGGCGGGCACCUGCGCGUCCCCUGCCGGGAGCACAUCCCCCAAUCCAGCCGUCCCUUGCGCGCCUCGCGACUCCCACCCCCGGACUGGCCUCCCGCGGGGCAGAGGAUUUGCUUUGUUCUCCGACGCACGGACCAAAAGCUCUGAGUGUGAUGCUUCGCGUGCGUCGAGAGGUGUUCCGCAUGAAACGGCGACUUCCUCUCAGAGGAAGGACUGAGAAUUACAGAGGGCAGGCGGAUCUCUCACCUGAGUCCGUAUUAUUCUAGGUGGUCUUCUCAUGCCACCUAAAACCCUCUGAUGGACCACCACCCAUAGUGGGCUUUCCCUACAAGAGAAGCACCGCUGGUGGAGAUGAGCAGACGUAUAUCGAAAGGAAAGGUGCUUUAGGAGAACAACUCCAGGUGUGGCAGAGCUGGCUAUUGUUCCCCGAACAUCUUUCCUCUCCUUCCUGGACACACAGAUUGCUCCCGAGGUCUCAGGAAGCAUUUCAGAAGAUGCCAUUGUUUCUCCUUAAAAAGCUACAGGUCUUCAAGAAGAUGGAAGGGGGUCUUUGGGGACAUCUAGGGGACAGAAAGACAGAAGGCGGCAGAAGUUAAGAGUCUAGCUUGAUCUUCUUUACAGCAUGGCAGCUGCCCCUCCCACCCCGCCCCGAACCCUGAGAAAACAAAAAUGGAAGCUUCCUGGCCUCUUAGAGGCUAAUCUUGGAACCAGCACACUGCCACCUCUUCUGCAUUAUUGGUCAAAGCAAGUCACAACAGCAGCCCAGAUUGGGGCCACGUGAAGACACAGUGAGAAGACAGCCCUCUGUGAACCAGGAACUGGGCCCUCACCAGAUACUGAAUCUGCAGGCAACUUGAUCCUAGACUCCCAGCCUCCAGAACUGUGAAAAAUAGAUGUUUGCUGUGUAACCCACUCCAUCUAGGGGUAUUUUUGUUAUAGCAGCUUGUGUGGACUAAGACACCCCUCUUCUUCACCCUGCCCUGAGCCCUGGGAUGCUGAGGAAUACAUCGUCAGACCACCUUGCUUCCACUCAGGUUCAGCCAGCAGGAGGAGCCAGCGGGAGAUUGAGGGAUGGAAAAAGAGGAGGGUCAAUGUAUUUGUUCCCCCAGCUCCCUCCUCGCCAGGUGGCCGUGUUCCUGCUGGUGUCCCUCUCCUUCAGCUCCACCUCCCUUUCUCUCCCUCUGGGUUCCAGAACCAUCUCCCAACCUUAUCCUUUCAGACAUUGGGAGCAAUUGCUGUUGUUCAUCUCAAGAGCUUCAUAAUCCCUUGUGUGUUUCCUUUAACCCUACCCGUACCUCUGUAAAUAACCUCUUCUUUAAAUUCUCCUCAAUUACCCCAUGGAAA